GUCCCGGGGGACGGGCUGAACCUCAGUCAGGACCGCCUGCACCGCAGUCCGGGGAUCGGGUCGAGGGGAGAAGAAAAAGGGGUGCUCGGGAGCAGCCCCCGGCUACCUCCCCUGGAGGCACAGAGGGCGGGGGCCUUGGCGAAUGGCUUUCUUGCUGGCCACUUGCGGAGGUUUGGAUUCAGGAUUUGUUCCUAGUGUCCAAGAUUUUGAUAAGAAACUUACAGAAGCUGAUGCUUACCUACAAAUCUUGAUUGAACAAUUAAAGCUUUUUGAUGACAAGCUUCAAAACUGCAAAGAAGAUGAACAGAGAAAGAAAAUUGAAACUCUCAAAGAGACAACAAAUAGAUGGGAUUCUGCUAUGUUGCCUAGGCUGGUCUCCUAGCCUCAAGCGAUCCUCCUUCCUUGGCCUACCAAAGCAGUGGGAUUACAGAGCAUGGUAGAAUCAAUUAAACACUGCAUUGUGUUGCUGCAGAUUGCCAAAGACCAGAGUAAUGCGGAGAAGCACGCAGAUGGAAUGAUAAGUACUAUUAAUCCCGUAGAUGCAAUAUAUCAACCUAGUCCUUUGGAACCUGUGAUCAGCACAAUGCCUUCCCAG
rnacentral:lncRNA from 10 species